rnacentral:lncRNA from 1 species
UUUGAUUACUAAACAAAUGUAUGUCAUAUGUUACUCCAGAUUGGAAGGCCUGUAGUCUACGGCCUUGCUGCAAAAGGGGAAUAUGGGGUGAGAUGCGUCAUUGAAAUGCUGAAGGAUGAGUUUGAGUUGACCAUGGCCCUUACUGGCUGUCCUAGUGUGAAACAUAUUACCAGGAACCAUGUGAGAACUGAGCAUGAGAGAAUCCAUUCGAUGCUGUAAUAUUAUUUUCUGUUGCAGAAAUGUCUAAAUGUAUGGAUGAAUUAAACCAUGAGCAAUCAUUUAAACUAAUUAAAUUUGAAGUAUUUUUACGGUUUAUAACAUUCUUUUUAAGGGUGCGUUUGACACACUCUAUUAUAUUAUGUUGUAUUGUAUUAUUUUAAUACAGUUGUAUUGUAUUAUUUUGUAUUGUAUUAGUAUUGAAUUAUAAUAAUAUUAUACAACAUUUGGUAUUACAUUGUACUGUAUUAAUUUUUAAUUAUAUCAUGUUUGGAGUUAUAUAUCUAAACUGCAGACAAUAUGAUCUAGAUUUGUAUAUAGAUCUAAACUUACUUCACUUUUACAAGUACGUAAAUAAUUGUGAGAAUUGAAUUGAUUACAAAUAUGUGUCAGUUUAUUUUGAUUAAUGUUGAUUAGUAGAAUGCAUUCUAAAAUUUUUUUAAGACUGUAAAAGGGAAUCCAAACUGACAACAUUGCUGCUGCCAUUGAAUUUAACUUGAAAUGUUGAGAAAUAUCAUAGUAUUAAGGAUUACAUAAUUCUCCUAAUUAACAUUCUGAGUUUUAAUUUAAGGCAUAUGAAUCAGGAAACAGGAGACGCAAAUCUAUAGGGUGCUCAUAACAAUGCUAAUGCAUGUAGUUUUUGCUAGUUUUCUGACGUGUAGACAAUGGAACUUGCCGUUUCAUGUAUUAAUGAUGGAGAUCUUGUAACAAUACAUUUUUCGAUCUAACUAGCUCGAUGUAGAAAUGACCAGCAUUUUGGAAUAAGAUAUGUGUCCCCUGACAACUUUGGGUUACACAAUAGAUUUUACCAAGGAAAUCGUAACCAAUACAUUUUAUACUUGUGAACCCUGAGCUUGCAGGUGGUUCAUGCCGUUAAAGGAAGAGUUCCAAUUCUUAUGGAUGGAGGAGUGCGGCGAGGAACAGAUGUUUUCAAGGCAUUGGCCCUCGGUGCACAAGCUGUACUUGUAAGCUUUUCACAACUUCACCCUUAAGUUUUUUUAAUUUCAGUGGUGAGACUCUGGAGCCACCUUUCUUUUCUCUUUUGUUAACAGUUGAUUCCAGGGACACAAAGGUAACAUAGAAAUUUAUUUCAGCUGCAGUACUACUUUUGUUCGGGUCCUUAUUUGAUUACUAAACAAAUGUAUGUCAUAUGUUACUCCAGAUUGGAAGGCCUGUAGUCUACGGCCUUGCUGCAAAAGGGGAAUAUGGGGUGAGACGCGUCAUCGAAAUGCUGAAGGAUGAGUUUGAGUUGACCAUGGCCCUUACUGGCUGUCCUAGUGUGAAACAUAUUACCAGGAAGCAUGUGAGAACUGAGCAGGAGAGAAUCCAUUCGAUGCUGUAAUAUUAUUCUGUUGCAGAAAUGUCUAAGGGUGCGUUUGACACACUCUAUUGUAUUAUGUUGUAUUGUAUUAUUUUAAUACAGUUGUAUUGUAUUAUUUUGUAUUGUAUUAGUAUUGAAUUAUAAUAAUAUUGUACAACAUUUGGUAUUACAUUAUACUGUAUUAAUUUUUAAUUAUAUCAUGUUUGGAGUUAUAUAUUUCAUUAUAUAUUAAUUUUUUUGGUGAUUAAUUUACAUUAUAUAUUUCAAAACAAUAUUUCUUAGUAGUUAAAAAAACCAUACUGCUGUACGGCCAAGGCGGAUGUACGGUACAGCAGAAAAGACUCUUUUCAUUUGUAAAACUUUUAUUUUCUGUAACUUUCUCACAGUUAAUUUGCUGCUGUACGGCCAAGGCGGAUGUACGGUACAGCAGCCUGUAGUCUACGGCCUUGCUGCAAAAGGGGAAUAUGGGGUGAGACGCGUCAUCGAAAUGCUGAAGGAUGAGUUUGAGUUGACCAUGGCCCUUACUGGCUGUCCUAGUGUGAAACAUAUUACCAGGAAGCAUGUGAGAACUGAGCAGGAGAGAAUCCAUUCGAUGCUGUAAUAUUAUUCUGUUGCAGAAAUGUCUAAGGGUGCGUUUGACACACUCUAUUGUAUUAUGUUGUAUUGUAUUAUUUUAAUACAGUUGUAUUGUAUUAUUUUGUAUUGUAUUAGUAUUGAAUUAUAAUAAUAUUGUACAACAUUUGGUAUUACAUUAUACUGUAUUAAUUUUUAAUUAUAUCAUGUUUG